CUCUGCUGUUUGCGAAGUGUGCACGGGGCGGCUGCUCCACAUUUUUGAUAAAGACGUGGAAUCAUGUUGCAACACCUAACAAGUGCUCCUGCGUCAAAGUUGCACAAUUCCAGAGGCACAGCUCCGCCCAUCGGCUGGCGCCGCUCACGUAAGGCUUAGGUAAUACACACGCCAGUGGGCCCUCUCUCCUCACAGCCUUUGGAAGAAUGUUGAGACUGAAAUUGGCUCUGGUCACCUGGCAGUUCCUUGCCCCAAAGCCACCAGUUUCCAGAUGCUACCAUGACACCAACCAGACUUCCUUGGGCAGACAACCUCAUCAAAGUGUCCUGGAAUCCCACCUCUUCAGAGCCCUAGCCCACUAGGGAAAGAGACAGUCUGGGGGGUAUGGAUUCACCUGCCAACAUCCAGGUCCAGCAGAGAAGUAAUUACAGAAGCCAGAACUCCCACCUUCUGCAUCCCAAAAAGAAUCUUGGUCCAUACCCCUAGAGGGGUAAACAGUAGGGAAGUUUCCACUGGAGGGGAUAGGACACAGAACUCUGGUGGUGGGAACUGUAUGGAAUUGUACCCAUUAUCUUAGAAUCCUGUUAAUCAUUAUUAAAUCACUAAAUAAUAAUAAUAAUAAAGUUUUAAAGGUAAAGCGAA